UACAGAGGUCUCAAGCGUUGUUCGGAUUCAUUGGGCGUAAAGGGUGCGUAGGCGGCGCGGUAAGUCGGGUGUGAAAUCUCAGGGCUCAACCCUGAAACUGCAUUCGAUACUGCCUUGCUCGAGGACUGGAGAGGAGAUUGGAAUUCACGGUGUAGCAGUGAAAUGCGUAGAUAUCGUGAGGAAGACCAGUGGCGAAGGCGGAUCUCUGGACAGUUCCUGACGCUGAGGCACGAAGGCCAGGGGAGCAAACGGG
rnacentral:rRNA from 1 species